UACGUAGGGUGCGAGCGUUAAUCGGAAUUACUGGGCGUAAAGCGUGCGCAGGCGGUUUGCUAAGACCGAUGUGAAAUCCCCGGGCUUAACCUGGGAACUGCAUUGGUGACUGGCAGGCUAGAGUAUGGCAGAGGGGGGUAGAAUUCCACGUGUAGCAGUGAAAUGCGUAGAGAUGUGGAGGAAUACCGAUGGCGAAAGGCAGCCCCCUGGGCCCAAUACUGACGCUCA
rnacentral:rRNA from 1 species